AGAGUUUGAUCCUGGCUCAGGACGAACGCUGGCGGCGCGCCUAACACAUGCAAGUCGAACGAGAGAUGAGGAGCUUGCUCUUCAGAUCGAGUGGCGAACGGGUGAGUAACGCGUGAGGAACCUGCCUCAAAGAGGGGGACAACAGUUGGAAACGACUGCUAAUACCGCAUAAGCCCACGACCCGGCAUCGGGUUGAGGGAAAAGGAGCAAUCCGCUUUGAGAUGGCCUCGCGUCCGAUUAGCUAGUUGGUGAGGUAACGGCCCACCAAGGCGACGAUCGGUAGCCGGACUGAGAGGUUGAACGGCCACAUUGGGACUGAGACACGGCCCAGACUCCUACGGGAGGCAGCAGUGGGGAAUAUUGCACAAUGGGGGAAACCCUGAUGCAGCGACGCCGCGUGGAGGAAGAAGGUCUUCGGAUUGUAAACUCCUGUUGUUGAGGAAGAUAAUGACGGUACUCAACAAGGAAGUGACGGCUAACUACGUGCCAGCAGCCGCGGUAAAACGUAGGUCACAAGCGUUGUCCGGAAUUACUGGGUGUAAAGGGAGCGCAGGCGGGAAGACAAGUUGGAAGUGAAAUCCAUGGGCUCAACCCAUGAACUGCUUUCAAAACUGUUUUUCUUGAGUAGUGCAGAGGUAGGCGGAAUUCCCGGUGUAGCGGUGGAAUGCGUAGAUAUCGGGAGGAACACCAGUGGCGAAGGCGGCCUACUGGGCACCAACUGACGCUGAGGCUCGAAAGUGUGGGUAGCAAACAGGAUUAGAUACCCUGGUAGUCCACACCGUAAACGAUGAUUACUAGGUGUUGGAGGAUUGACCCCUUCAGUGCCGCAGUUAACACAAUAAGUAAUCCACCUGGGGAGUACGACCGCAAGGUUGAAACUCAAAGGAAUUGACGGGGGCCCGCACAAGCAGUGGAGUAUGUGGUUUAAUUCGACGCAACGCGAAGAACCUUACCAAGUCUUGACAUCCUGCGACGGUGCUGGAAACAGUACUUUCCUUCGGGACGCAGAGACAGGUGGUGCAUGGUUGUCGUCAGCUCGUGUCGUGAGAUGUUGGGU
rnacentral:rRNA from 1 species